CUCGUAGGCGGUUUGUCGCGUCUGCUGUGAAAUCCCGAGGCUCAACCUCGGGUCUGCAGUGGGUACGGGCAGACUAGAGUGUGGUAGGGGAGAUUGGAAUUCCUGGUGUAGCGGUGGAAUGCGCAGAUAUCAGGAGGAACACCGAUGGCGAAGGCAGAUCUCUGGGCCAUUACUGACGCUGAGGAGCGAAAGCAUGGGGAGCGAGCA
rnacentral:rRNA from 1 species